rnacentral:rRNA from 1 species
UACAGAGGUCCCAAGCGUUGUUCGGAUUCACUGGGCGUAAAGGGUGCGUAGGCGGCCGGGUAAGUCUGAUGUGAAAUCUCACAGCUUAACUGUGAAACUGCAUUGGAUACUAUCCGGCUCGAGGAAUGGAGGGGAGACUGGAAUACUUGGUGUAGCAGUGAAAUGCGUAGAUAUCAAGUGGAACACCAGUGGCGAAGGCGGCUCUCUGGGCCUUUCCUGACGCUGAGGCGCGAAAGCGUGGGGAGCAAACCGG